UACGGAGGGUGCAAGCGUUGUCCGGAUUUAUUGGGUUUAAAGGGUGCGUAGGCGGCCUUUUAAGUCAGUGGUGAAAGCCCAUAGCUCAACUAUGGAACUGCCAUUGAUACUGAAAGGCUUGAGUACAGACGAGGUUGACGGAAUGGAUGGUGUAGCGGUGAAAUGCAUAGAUACCAUCCAGAACUCCGAUUGCGUAGGCAGCUAACUAGGCUGUAACUGACGCUGAGGCACGAAAGCGUGGGGAGCAAACAGG
rnacentral:rRNA from 1 species